UGUCCAUGCCUGAGCAAGGUGGGCUCGCUCGUCCCCUUCCCGAAACCGCACUAGCCGGCGGUGCCCCAUCCGCGGCUCCGGCGAACUGGACCGUGCCUUUCGUCUUGCACGCACGGCCGCCAUUGCUCGCCGCCAAAUCCUCCCCUCCCUGGUAUAGCAUCUCUCUGCCGCAUCCGUCUGCAGGGGCGCCCGCCGCCCCGCCGACCGCCGUUCCUAGUCGACGGCCUCCGGAAGGGGGAGGGGGGCGACGGGGACGCCUUGGCGUCGUCUUCUUCGGUCUCAUCCCCCCCUCGUCCACAAAGGGCCAGACAAGUAUGCAGCCUGAAGGGCAAGGAUGGGGAUAAAUCAUACGAGUGGUUCAGUAAAAGAAAAUCACUCGAAUGGCAAUUCAAAUAACGGUCAAGAGUGAAAAUCACUUUGCAAAAAGUACCUGCUGAUUGAAGCUGAUUGAAGCUGCGGUGGGCAGCUGCCUGGAAGCAGUUGGAUGCCUCGUUGACCGGCAUUCUAACCAUAUGGAGCCUUGUCUCACUAACCACACAACUCUGUCAGGUUUGCUCGCUGACCAGGGUGGUGGAAACCUUGUGUUCUUUGUGAACAUCUGUAUUAACUAGCGGAGGGUAAUUCUGGCAUUUUUCUGUACAUUUUGCCCCGCCAAAUAUGAGGUUUUGACUUA